rnacentral:snoRNA from 1 species
AUGCCAUGAUGGGGGCAUGCAGUGAUAUACUCUUGGAGGAAUUCCCAUGCGUCCUAGAUGGACUCAUCAUCGUGCUGCUGGAAGCUUAAAAUUUUGUUCCAAAGGAC